GACGUAGGGCGCGAGCGUUGUCCGGAUUUAUUGGGCGUAAAGAGCUCGUAGGCGGCUUGUCGCGUCAACUGUGAAAACCCGUGGCUCAACCAUGUGGUCUGCAGUCGAUACGGGCAGGCUAGAAUUCGGUAGGGGAGACUGGAAUUCCUGGUGUAGCGGUGAAAUGCGCAGAUAUCAGGAGGAACACCGGUGGCGAAGGCAGCUCGCUGGAACGUAACUGACGCUGAGACGCGAAAGCGUGGGGAGCAAACAGG
rnacentral:rRNA from 1 species